UGGGGAAUAUUGGACAAUGGGCGGAAGCCUGAUCCAGCCAUGCCGCGUGUGUGAAGAAGGCCUUUUGGUUGUAAAGCACUUUAAGCGAGGAGGAGGCUACUUGGAUUAAUACUCUAGGAUAGUGGACGUUACUCGCAGAAUAAGCACCGGCUAACUCUGUGCCAGCAGCCGCGGUAAUACAGAGGUUGCGAGCGUUAAUCGGAUUUACUGGGCGUAAAGCGUGCGUAGGCGGCUUCUUAAGUCGGAUGUGAAAUCCCUGAGCUUAACUUAGGAAUUGCAUUCGAUACUGGGAAGCUAGAGUAUGGGAGAGGAUGGUAGAAUUCCAGGUGUAGCGGUGAAAUGCGUAGAGAUCUGGAGGAAUACCGAUGGCGAAGGCAGCCAUCUGGCCUAAUACUGACGCUGAGGUACGAAAGCAUGGGGAGCAAACAGG
rnacentral:rRNA from 1 species